CCUACGGGAGGCUGCAGUAGGGAAUUUUGCGCAAUGGGCGAAAGCCUGACGCAGCAACGCCGCGUGAUUGAUUAAGCCCUUCGGGGUGUAAAGAUCUGUCAGUGGGGACGAAACUUGACGGUACCCACAGAGGAAGAGACGGCUAACUCUGUGCCAGCAGCCGCGGUAAUACAGAGGUCUCAAGCGUUGUUCGGAAUUACUGGGUGUAAAGGGAGCGCAGGCGGGAAGCCAAGUCAGCUGUGAAAACUACGGGCUUAACUUGUAGACUGCAGUUGAAACUGGUUUUCUUGAGUGAAGUAGAGGUUGGCGGAAUUCCGAGUGUAGCGGUGAAAUGCGUAGAUAUUCGGAGGAACACCGGUGGCGAAGGCGGCCAACUGGGCUUUAACUGACGCUGAGGCUCGAAAGUGUGGGGAGCAAACAGGAUUAGAUACCCCAGUAGUC
rnacentral:rRNA from 1 species